rnacentral:rRNA from 1 species
UAAUACANUNAAGUCGAGCGGAUGAGUGGAGCUUGCUCCAUGAUUCAGCGGCGGACGGGUGAGUAAUGCCUAGGAAUCUGCCUGGUAGUGGGGGACAACGUUUCGAAAGGAACGCUAAUACCGCAUACGUCCUACGGGAGAAAGCAGGGGACCUUCGGGCCUUGCGCUAUCAGAUGAGCCUAGGUCGCAUUAGCUAGUAGGUGAGGUAAUGGCUCACCUAGGCGACGAUCCGUAACUGGUCUGAGAGGAUGAUCAGUCACACUGGAACUGAGACACGGUCCAGACUCCUACGGGAGGCAGCAGUGGGGAAUAUUGGACAAUGGGCGAAAGCCUGAUCCAGCCAUGCCGCGUGUGUGAAGAAGGUCUUCGGAUUGUAAAG